GGGUCCAGCGCCUUCACAAAAGAGAGGUGGUUGUUACCCGUAGUUGGCUUUGAUGAAGUUGUACUCCAUAAGGAUCUCAUACACUCCCAUCACCAGCAC